AUCUUUGCGCUUGGGGCAAUGAUACAGGUGAAACCGAGACGCGUCAAUUGCUGGUUGAAAACUAUUUCCUACUCUUUUUUGUCGAUUCAGUUCAAUUCCAACUGUAUGACUUGUUCACACAUCUGUCAGGUU
rnacentral:snRNA from 1 species